rnacentral:rRNA from 1 species
UGCAAGUCGAACGAUGAAGCGCAGCUUGCUGCGUGGAUUAGUGGCGAACGGGUGAGUAACACGUGAGUAACCUGCCCUCCACUCUGGGAUAACUCCGGGAAACCGGUGCUAAUACUGGAUAUGACAUUUGCCUGCAUGGGCGAGUGUGGAAAGAUUUAUCGGUGGUGGAUGGACUCGCGGCCUAUCAGCUUGUUGGUGGGGUAAUGGCCUACCAAGGCGACGACGGGUAGCCGGCCUGAGAGGGUGACCGGCCACACUGGGACUGAGACACGGCCCAGACUCCUACGGGAGGCAGCAGUGGGGAAUAUUGCACAAUGGGCGAAAGCCUGAUGCAGCGACGCCGCGUGCGGGAUGACGGCCUUCGGGUUGUAAACCGCUUUCAGCUCUGACGAAGCUUUUUGUGACGGUAGGAGCAGAAGAAGCACCGGCUAACUACGUGCCAGCAGCCGCGGUAAUACGUAGGGUGCGAGCGUUGUCCGGAAUUAUUGGGCGUAAAGAGCUUGUAGGCGGCUUGUCGCGUCUGCUGUGAAAGCCCGGGGCUUAACCCCGGGUCUGCAGUGGGUACGGGCAGGCUAGAGUGUGGUAGGGGAGACUGGAAUUCCUGGUGUAGCGGUGGAAUGCGCAGAUAUCAGGAGGAACACCGAUGGCGAAGGCAGGUCUCUGGGCCAUUACUGACGCUGAGAAG